GAAAAGAAACCAACAGGGAUUGCCCCAGUAACGGCGAGUGAAGCGGCAACAGCUCAAAUUUGAAAUCUGGCUCCCUCGGGGCCCGAGUUGUAAUUUGCAGAGGGUGCUUCGGCGUUGGCGCCGGCCUAAGUUCCUUGGAACAGGACGUCAUAGAGGGUGAGAACCCCGUACGUGGCAGGCCGCCUCCGCCGUGUGAAGCCCCUUCGACGAGUCGAGUUGUUUGGGAAUGCAGCUCUAAAUGGGAGGUAAAUUCCUUCUAAAGCUAAAUACUGGCCAGAGACCGAUAGCGCACAAGUAGAGUGAUCGAAAGAUGAAAAGCACUUUGGAAAGAGAGUCAAAAAGCACGUGAAAUUGUUGAAAGGGAAGCGCUUGCAGCCAGACUUGCCUGUAGUUGCUCAUCCGGGCCCCGGCCCGGUGCACUCUUCUGCGGGCAGGCCAGCAUCAGUCAGGGCGGCCGGAUAAAGGCCCCGGGAACGUAGCUCCCUCCGGGGAGUGUUAUAGCCCGGGGCGCAAUGCGGCCAGCCCCGACUGAGGUCCGCGCAUCUGCUAGGAUGCUGGCGUAAUGGCUGUAAGCGGCC
rnacentral:rRNA from 1 species